rnacentral:rRNA from 1 species
GAUGAACGCUGGCGGCGUGCCUAAUACAUGCAAGUCGAGCGAACAGACGAGGAGCUUGCUCCUCUGACGUUAGCGGCGGACGGGUGAGUAACACGUGGAUAACCUACCUAUAAGACUGGGAUAACUUCGGGAAACCGGAGCUAAUACCGGAUAAUAUAUUGAACCGCAUGGUUCAUUAGUGAAAGACGGUUUUGCUGUCCCUUAUAGAUGGAUCCGCGCCGCAUUAGCUAGUUGGUAAGGUAACGGCUUACCAAGGCAACGAUGCGUAGCCGACCUGAGAGGGUGAUCGGCCACACUGGAACUGAGACACGGUCCAGACUCCUACGGGAGGCAGCAGUAGGGAAUCUUCCGCAAUGGGCGAAAGCCUGACGGAGCAACGCCGCGUGAGUGAUGAAGGUCUUCGGAUCGUAAAGCUCUGUUAUUAGGGAAGAACAAAUGUGUAAGUAACUAUGCACGUCUUGACGGUACCUAAUCAGAAAGCCACGGCUAACUACGUG